GACGAACGCUGGCGGCGUGCCUAAUACAUGCAAGUUGAGCGCUGAAGGUUGGUACUUGUACCGACUGGAUGAGCAGCGAACGGGUGAGUAACGCGUGGGGAAUCUGCCUUUGAGCGGGGGACAACAUUUGGAAACGAAUGCUAAUACCGCAUAAAAACUUUAAACACAAGUUUUAAGUUUGAAAGAUGCAAUUGCAUCACUCAAAGAUGAUCCCGCGUUGUAUUAGCUAGUUGGUGAGGUAAAGGCUCACCAAGGCGAUGAUACAUAGCCGACCUGAGAGGGUGAGCGGCCACAGUGGGACGGAGACACGGCCCAAACUCCUACGGGAGGCAGCAGUAGGGAAUCUUCGGCAAUGGACGAAAGUCUGACCGAGCAACGCCGCGUGAGUGAAGAAGGUUUUCGGAUCGUAAAACUCUGUUGGUAGAGAAGAACGUUGGUGAGAGUGGAAAGCUCAUCAAGUGACGGUAACUACCCAGAAAGGGACGGCUAACUACGUG
rnacentral:rRNA from 1 species